AUGGCUACUUCUGAUAUCCAGGUGAAAGCACUGGAGAAGUGUGCCUCAGGCUAGGCUUUUGAACUGAUUCUCAGAUACCAUCAAAAGAAUCCAUCCCAGAGUUCCUUAUUUCCCCUCCAAAGAAGAAAGAUCUUUCCCUGGAGGAAAUUCAGAAUAAAUCAGAAGCUUCAGAAGAAAGACACAAGCCCUGCGAAGCUGAGGCCUUGAAGCAGCUUGCUGAAAAAUGAGAGCAGGAGAAAGAAGUGCUUCAGAAAUCAAUAAAAGAACAGCUUCAGUGAAAUAGCAGAAGAGAAACUGACCCACAAAAUGGAAGCUAACAAAGAGAACAGGAAGGCGCAAAUGACUACCACACUGGAGUGUUUGCAGAGAAAGAUAAGCACGUUGAAGAAAUGCGGAAGAGCAAAGAAUCCAGAGAUCCUGGUGAUGAGGCUGAAGCUGAC
rnacentral:lncRNA from 1 species